GAUCUUGUAGCUCAUAUGGUAGAGCACCUAUAUCCUAGGAAAUUAGGAGGAGUGGUUCGAGUCCACACAAGAUCA
rnacentral:tRNA from 1 species